rnacentral:tRNA from 13 species
UGCCCGAAUAGGGGGCUCGAACCUUGGAUCGUCAAGUUGAAAGCUUAACGCUCUACCGACUGAGCAAUCCGAGC